GUGUCAGCAGCCGCGGUAAUACGUAGGGGGCGAGCGUUGUCCGGAAUUAUUGGGCGUAAAGCGCGCGCAGGCGGUCUCUUAAGUCUGAUGUGAAAGCCCACGGCUCAACCGUGGAGGGUCAUUGGAAACUGGGGGACUUGAGGGCAGGAGAGGAGAGCGGAAUUCCACGUGUAGCGGUGAAAUGCGUAGAGAUGUGGAGGAACACCAGUGGCGAAGGCGGCUCUCUGGCCUGCACCUGACGCUGAGGCGCGAAAGCGUGGGGAGCAAACAGGAUUAGAUACCCUGGUAGUCCACGCUGUAAACGAUGAGUGCUAAGUGUUAGAGGGGUCACACCCUUUAGUGCUGCAGCUAACGCGAUAAGCACUCCGCCUGGGGAGUACGGCCGCAAGGCUGAA
rnacentral:rRNA from 1 species